CUAAUGUCAGACGCUCUGGCUCCCGGUAUACAAUCGACUAUGGUGGCUGGUGCCUCAAUGUCAACGUUCCUGAGUAUAGAAUCUCCAAUAACCAGGGCACUUUUAACAGACGUCUCAGCUGGUGUAUUGCUGAGUGGAGAAAAUCUGUUUGAUAUUAAAACAGGAGCGUGAUUUGGGUGCCGAAUGUGACUAUGCCGCCUGACAGUCACCCAGUUAGUCAGCCGCCUUGACUCUGAAGUCGGAACCGAGCCAUGUGUAUUACGCUUAACACUAGGCGCACCCGAAACAGUGUUUGUUUUAUAGUUGACUCAAAUUAAAUAAGCACACAAUAACACUGUAAACAUAUUUGUUUUUGAUUGUGAAUAGUUCAAGACAAUCAGUUUCCCAUAUGAACUGAGUUUGCAUGGCAUUAUCACUACUCCUUUAAUGUUCUCUUACUGGAAAUCAUGUGAUAGUAUCUAAAGCGAUCCAGCAAAAAUUGUACAAGCCAACUUAAACAUCAUGAAAUCAAUAAAACUUUUUUAAUUGUAAAAGCGAAAAUUUAUUUUAUUGUAUAUAUAUGAGCACAUCGCUAGACAGGUAAGAAACAGUCAAGAGAUUUCAAGAUUUUUAUUUGUCACAUACACAGUUAUAUGCAUAAACAACCUGUUUGUAAGUAUGGUAUGCUCUAAAAAUGUAGAAAAUAUAUACAGGUGCUGGUCAUAUAAUUAGAAUAUCAUCAAAAAGUUUAUUUAUUUCACUUAUUCCAUUCAAAAAGUGAAACUUGUAUAUUAUAUUCAUUAAUUACACACAGACUUCUUUUAAUUUUGAUUAUAAUAAGAAUCUUAUAAGAUUAUAAAAUUAUCAGAAUAUUACUUAAGACCAAUACAAAGAAAGCCAACUAAACGUAUUAACAUAAAAAAGUAUGAGCAUGUACAGCACUUAAUACUUAGUUGGGGCUCCUUCUGUCUGAAUUACUGCAGCAAUGCGGCUUCGAUCAGUCUGUGGCACUGCUCAGGUAUUAUGAGAACCCAGGUUGCUCUGAUAGUGGUCUUCAUCUAUUUUGCAUUAUUAGGUCUGGCAUAUUGCAUCUUCCUCUUCACAAUACCCUAUAGGGGUUAAGGUCAGGCGAGUUUGCUGGCCAAUUAAGAACAGGGAUACUAUGGUCCUUAAACCAGGUACUGGUAGCUUUGGCACUGUGUGCCAGAAAUAAACAUUUGAAAUAUAUCAGUCUGUUGGUAAUGAAUGACUAUAAUAUACCAGUUUCACUUUUUGAAUGUAAUUAGUGACAUAAAUAAACUUUUUGAUGAUAUUCUAAUUAAAUGACCAGCACCUGUAGGGGGACAAUAAUGUGGAUUUAAUCUGCUUGGCCCCCUUUUUAGCGCUAAUUAUCCACAACGCAUCUUUAGUAAAUCCUGACAUCGCUAUUAAACGCCAAAAUGAUGGUUUGCGCUGGCACAAGCUGUUGGUAAAUCUGGCCCCAGGUCUCCUCCAGAAAUGAUUCCAAUUGUCUAUAAAACCCAUGUUAAGCUGUGGGCAACACUUUGACAUCCAGCCGUAAAGGAACACUAAUCUUCUAUACAUGUCAUAACCCAGACGGGGAGAGGAGAAGAGCAUAGAGGUAAGUAGUUAUUAUCCACAACUAGCUGUCAAAAUAUGAUUUAUUACCCUGUCAAUCACAUUUUGACAUAUAGUGGAGAUAUCAAUCAAAAGGUGUACAUGCUGUCCAGUUUUGAGUGUUGUAUUUUAUGGCUUUUAGACAGCGGCUGUCCGGAGCUGUGCAUGUUUUACAACGUGUCAAUCACCGCAUUGUUUUUCCUGUGUGUGUGUGUGUUUUUUGUCACGCGAAUGUUUGUCAUAUUUAUGGAUGUGUAAAAAAGUUUAUUGUUUUGGGUGUCCAGUUUCUGGACUGUCAGUUUUAACGACCGGCCUGUGUGUGCUCUCCCCCCUCCCUUCUUGCCCCUGUGUGUCUCACAGCGGGUGUGCGUUGUUGAAUCUAUUUUGUUUAACAACAUCAAAAGUUUCUUUAAAGUCAAUCAAGAAUCAAAUAUUUUAGUUGUAUCUGGUUAAACUUAAAUCUGAUAUUUUCUAUUGAUGUAUUUUCUUAGUUUCUGAUCAGACACAAACUUUCAGGCUAUAUCCACACGAAGCCGGUGCAUUCCCUAUCCGAUCAUUUUUUUUCCUUGCUCUAAAAAAAUAAUCCGUAAACACGAAACCACUGAAACCGACUGAAAGCGGUGUAGUAUAUAUGCCGGACCAGUAUGGGGCGCUGUAAUUCUGCCACAGAUAUACACUAUACACGGAGAAGAAGACUUUGAGCAUGCGCAUAGCCAACGUAUGGUGUUGUCCAGUAUCGCUUGUUGGUCACCACAAUUGCAUAGACGCAAUAGAUUUUGCUGUAAUAAAGCUAGUAGGCUUUAGUAGCUUCUGUAGCACGAACACAAUCACGUAUCCGCCGUUAUUGUUGUUGCUGUUACGUGUGACGCUUCCGACACGUGAUGUGAUGACGUUUUCGCUACAGCAGACGAAACCGCAAGGGUGUCGGUUUCAGAUUUAUCCACUUUAGGACCAGGUUUCAAAAAAUAGCGGUUUCACUCUCUGAAAUCGCCGGAUCCGUGUGGAUGAAACGCCAAUACGAUAACAAAUUUAUGCGUAUAUAGUGAUUCGCGUCUCCGUGUGGACAGCCCCUCAGAUGCUGCUCUUAUGACCGUGUGUGUGUGGGGGGGGGGGGGGGUGGAUGCAGACAUGCAUCCUUUAUUGACAAGCGGGGGAGCGACAAGAGAUCGUCAGGAGUCAGUUUGUAUGGAGAAGAGCUGGUAUACUCAAACCUGCUGGUACGUAUAUGUGUUUUACUGUGUUCAUUCCAACAUUUUGCCUGAUUAUUUAAAAACUAAAAAUUUGAUCUCUGGUGUUGCAGCGGAAUUGUCUAAACUGAUAUUUAGUAUUCCUGGUAAAUCGGGGAGAAUAACGGACUGAAGAAAAAAACGUCAGCCCUGGAAUUUAGAACCCCCGCCGCUUAGGACAGAGACGUGAAGUGGCUCGUGUCACCUGGUUUGGAUAUCAUUAGCAAAGCAAUCGAUGUGUGCACUAUUGCAAGAUAGGGCUGUCACCUUUCGUUCGAAAAUCGAUUGCACAAUCGAUCGGACCAACAAAAAAAAGUUUCGAAAACGAAAAUAGGCAAUCGAUUUUAACCAAAUAUGUACACUAUUAAUUUUAAAAGAAUUAAACAGUUAAAAAUAUAGAUGUAACAAAACUCACAAACAAGCAGAAAAAGAAAAUAAAGAAUUCCGAAAGUGCAGUAGGUGUGCGAAAGCUAGACAGAAAAUACCCAGCAAUUUUACGCACCUUUAGUUUCACGCUUUAAAUCGCUGCAUCUAGUGUUUUGCAAAGAAAAUGGAGGACAACGUCAAUAAACCUGUGCAACACGAGAGAGCGUCGAAAUUGUGACCUUACAGGAGAUGAUGAGUUAUGACAAGGAGCCACCCUUGCGAGCUGACAGCGACCCGCUUUUGUGAUGGAAGAUUGGCAGUGCGAAAUACGCAGCUGGCAACGAAGUACCCGAGUUUCCCUGGGACAUCAGUGCGGUCGGAGUGCGUCUUCUUAACAGAUGGACAUAUAGUGAAUGAAAAGCGCUCUGCUCUUGACCCCUAAAAUGUUGAUCGACUUGUUUUCCUGAACAAUAAUUUGUAAUGGCCCUAGCCUUUUUGCGCAUUUCAUUAUGCCUGCCUAGUGCCGCCUAAGUGUCGGUUACAUUUAAUAAAAAAAUACACAGCAUGUUCUCAACUUCAAGUAAGUCUAUUUAAAGUUUCAUUUUUGAACAGUUGUUUGAAAUGGAUCGAAUCAUUAUUUAAAAUAAUUUUUGAAUUGCCUAAAUCAUAAAAGCAGCCGGUUGAAGCCUGCAGUAAUGUUUUUCAUUUAUGGCAGCAGUCCACUCUGCAUAUUUUUUUAGAGAAUGUUGCACUACUGUUGCUGUUUUUUAUUCUGCACGAAACUUAAUGACAAUGAAUAAGAAAUAUUGCUGACUUGUGCGUUUCAGGCACUCUCUUUACAUUUGUCUGUUAUUUGGCGUUGAAAAUGGAAACGUCUUUUACAUGGAAAAUCGAUUUUACAAUCGAUUCACUUAUAUAUAAAAAAUCGAAAAUGAUUUUUUCACAAAAGUGACAGCCCUAUUGCAAGAUCUAGAGUGGAUCUCCACGGUUAGGAUACAAACCACAACGCUUUGGACGUGUCUUUAAAAAGAGAAAAUCAGAGCCUUUUUGGAUUUGUCUGGAGGGCAUUUUAAACAUUUUGUAGCAGCUUGGAUUUUACACAUUGCGGAUGCUGGAGAUCCAUGUUUGAAUUGUCCACAAAGGUUGUCACUUGUUAAAAAACAC